rnacentral:lncRNA from 1 species
GAACUGGUCACAGGAGAUCGGGUUCAUGGCCAUGUCCGGGUCCUCCGCUAGCGAGUCGGACUCGUUCGACGGGAGGUAACGGUGGAGCGCGGCGAGGGAGUCGAGGAACACUGGAGAGAGCGGGGAGAAGUCUCCUCCGUUGGAGGCAUUGCCGUUAGAGUUAACGGAGUGAACGGGGAUGAGGAAGGGUGAGGUGGGGGUAUGAUCGUCAAAUGAGUCCCAGGGUGGGACUUGGAUAGUCGGGUGGAGUCGAGUCGGUUCUCCGAGCAUCAUUAUUUCGGGUGGGGUUUAGGAGUUUUGACCUUUCAGACUUC